GACUAAGCGUACACGGUGGAUGCCCUGGCAGUCAGAGGCGAUGAAGGACGUGCUAAUCUGCGAAAAGCGUCGGUAAGGUGAUAUGAACCGUUAUAACCGGCGAUGUCCGAAUGGGGAAACCCAGUGCAAUUCGUUGCACUAUCGUUAACUGAAUACAUAGGUUAACGAGGCGAACCGGGGGAACUGAAACAUCUAAGUACCCCGAGGAAAAGAAAUCAACCGA
rnacentral:rRNA from 4 species